GACUGGGCUUGGAAUACAAAAAUUAUUCCAAAAAUUAAGUUAGUCUUCGCAGCCCAUUAAAACCUUUUGGCAGCCCAACCUAAAAUCUAAUGGUUUUGGUGGUUCCCACUUAGACCAGAAAUAUUCAGUCUUCGUACAUUGGUUUAGACUAAAUUAAUUUUGUUGUGGCCCGUAAUAUAUGUUUUACUACUGUUCCUGUUAAGAAAUUCAAUUCAGCCCAAAAUCCAUAGUGAAGCCCUUCAUCACCUUAAGUUUUCUGGUAAGUAAACCAAACUCUGCGUUUAGGAUUAGGUCGAUUGUGGUUUGAAGUAGUAUUCAUCUUCGACGGUUGACCAACACUGUCUCCGCCGUUGUUUGGAAAGUCAAUUUUCCUCUCACCUUUCUACCUCCCGUUUCUCUUCAUUUCCUUCUCUUUUGGCCACUCCCUUGAACUUUACUCUCUUACCAUAUGCAAUGAAUUUUGAGUUCACAUUAAAAUCCGUAACUCCUACGAACUCUCUGUUUCCCUUACUUUACUAUCAACGCUUGAUGCGUAUCAAAACCAAAGAAGACAUCAAACCGUAGAAAUACGAGAGGCUUGAGACUGGAAUCAAGCUUCACACACAAGCUCUCUAAGUUUAUCCUCCCCCGAAAACCUAGAACCCUCAUUCCAAAUGUCUUACUCUGGUGCUGCUGCUGUCGAUGAGCCGCCCUCCCCUCCACCUUUGACGAGAGCUAGGUCGUACAACCGCCUCCUCCUUUUCUGGAUUCGUGGAACAUCAAUAAAAGCGGUGAAUGUAUGGGAAUCACCCUCCUCUUCCUUGAUUAUCAACAUCUCCUCUUCCUUGAUGAAAAUGUAUCAACAUCUUUACUUUCUCUGGACUACUAUAUACUAUAUUUGUUUAAUCAAUAUUCAAGCUACUCUGUGAUCCACGGUUUCAUCCCAGCUGGUGGUGUGAAUCACUACCGUCCAUCCAUCGCUACGAGAGGGGUCGAUCGUGAAAGUUGAUCUCUUUUAAAUCGGCUGAUGCACUAAUAUGUACAAGAUCACGGAUCAUCCUUUCGUCAUCUGUAUCAUUCCCCCAACAACUAUUGAUGAAUUUGCCAUGAUUUCAACUGUUAUCAAUCUCCAGAAAUUCAUCCUUUGAAAGUUCGACCAUCUCCAAGCUCUUGCAAACACUAACUUAUAGCCUCCGAUGUGUUUGGACAAAUCCGUAUUGUUCAAGGCUCUGACCUGAACAACUUACGAAAUGAGUUCCGUUGUUGUACUUGUGUCAUGGAACUCGCGUUGAUUCCAUAGAAGGUAUUAAAAAGAAGGAACUAAUGUCAAUAGGAGAUCUUCACACUUUCAUCUUCAACUCCAACUCCAAUGGGCAGCAGAAGCUGAUUUUAUUUGCAAGGUUCAGAUUGUUGGUGUCCUCCAACAAAAUGGCUGGGCGUUUAUUUCUUGCACCAGUUGCAGCAGGAAGCUUACAAAAUCUGGCACUUUCUUCCGUUGCAACAGGUGUGUUUCUUCCAACGUGACCGGACAUCAGAGUAGCAGCAGCGACCCACCUCCAGUCAUGGAUAUGGAAUCUGGACAAGCAACAGAAUCUGCCAGCAACCUGGGUGAUGUGCCAAAGAUUCCACUGGGAGUUGCUGAAGCAAGCCUGAUAGGUUCUGCUGGUGACGAGAACACCCGCAAACGCCUCCUUGAUUGAUUGUCGCAAGGUCAUCUAACCGUCAACUCCACUUAGAUUUCGUUUCAUUUUAAUUUUCUACUUCCGUGUUUUUUCAACUUUGAGCUUUAGUUCUCUUUGAUUUGCUGCAAACUAUUUUUUACUGGUAUAAGAAUUACUACAACUUUAAAUAAUAAAGAAAGAGUUUACGUGUC